rnacentral:rRNA from 1 species
CCUACGGGAGGCAGCAGUGAGGAAUAUUGGGCAAUGGAGGCAACUCCGACCCAGCCAUGCCGCGUGCAGGAAGACUGCCCUAUGGGUUGUAAACUGCUUUUAUACAAGAAGAAACACUGGUAUGUAUACCAGCUUGACGGUACUGUAAGAAUAAGGACCGGCUAACUCCGUGCCAGCAGCCGCGGUAAUACGGAGGGUCCAAGCGUUAUUCGGAAUUAUUGGGUUUAAAGGGUCCGCAGGCGGUCGAUUAAGUCAGAGGUGAAAUCCCAUAGCUCAACUAUGGAACUGCCUUUGAAACUGGUUGACUUGAGUCAUAUAGAGGGAGAUAGAAUGUGUAGUGUAGCGGUGAAAUGCAUAGAUAUUACACAGAAUACCGAUGGCGAAGGCAGCUUACUGGCUCAUUACUGACGCUGAGGGACGAAAGCGUGGGGAGCGAACAGGAUUAGAUACCCUGGUAG